UGUUGAGAGAAAGAAAUCAAACGUAAAAAAGAGAGAGAGAGUGAGAGAGAGAGAGAGAAGGGAAUGUAAUUCUGCAUUUCCUAAUUUUGCAAAAUUAAUUUUAGCCAGGCUCAAGGAAGGUAGGGGUGAAAGCAGGAAAAUCCCUGCUCAUGCUGCCUGUCCUUAUUGUAUAAACCCCGAUUCUUCUUAUUCAGGAUAACCCUCAAUGACUGAAGCUGGGACGGAAAAAACAUCUGCAUUGUGCUGCAGACUCAAAUCCUGCCACAGCUAUAAUCUCUGGGACUCAAACUUGAACCAAACAGGAUUAUGCAAAGGCCAGGAUAAUAUUUGGUGUGAACUAAAGGUACGAGGAAAGGCACAUUUCUUUCAAGGCCACCUGCCAUAUUUAAGCUUCCAUGACAGAGGAACAUGAACCAGAUUUUCCUUGAGAGCUCCCUGCGAGUUGAGAUGCUCUCAGGACUCUCCAGCAGUUUGAAACGGAGGGCAGCGAAGUGCAGGAGGAAGUUUUUGGUGCUCACCUUAAGUCAGCGUGCGUGUGUGUGUGUGUGUCUAUGUCCCGAGUGUCUGUUUGUGGGUCUGGGUGGCAGAGGACCUGAUCCAGGGAAGAGAGAGCCACUUUCUCACCGAGAGGAAAAGAAAAGCAACACGUCAUGAGUUAAGUACGCCUCCAAGAUGUCUUAAUUACAGCCCAACGUGCUUCCAUUCAGACCCCAGGAAUGAGAGGAAAAAAUAAACCCACACACGCGCGGUUUUCCCUGCCGCUCACACACCCACACACACCCACCCCGCCCCAGCAGGCUGCCCUCUCCCUCCAGGUCCCUGUCCUCGCCCCUCGGGUCCAUCCCGCCCAGAUCCGCACCUAAAAAAACCUCUCUCAACUCCAAACAAGUCCUGAGGGGAAAAAAAAAAUAAACAAAACAAACAAACGAA